GCCUGAGUUGGCACAAACGUUUAAGUGCUCAACUACUACUUGAAUGGUUGGUGGUUCAAACCCACCCAGAGGCA
rnacentral:tRNA from 1 species